AACGAACGCUGGCGGCAUGCCUAACACAUGCAAGUCGAACGAGACCUUCGGGUCUAGUGGCGCACGGGUGCGUAACGCGUGGGAACCUGCCCUUAGGUUCGGAAUAACUCCCCGAAAGGGGUGCUAAUACCGGAUAAUGUCUUCGGACCAAAGAUUUAUCGCCUUUGGAUGGGCCCGCGUUGGAUUAGCUAGUUGGUAGGGUAAAAGCCUACCAAGGCGACGAUCCAUAGCAGGUCUGAGAGGAUGAUCAGCCACACUGGGACUGAGACACGGCCCAGACUCCUACGGGAGGCAGCAGUGGGGAAUAUUGGACAAUGGGCGAAAGCCUGAUCCAGCAAUGCCGCGUGAGUGAUGAAGGCCUUAGGGUUGUAAAGCUCUUUUACCCGGGAUGAUAAUGACAGUACCGGGAGAAUAAGCUCCGGCUAACUCCGU
rnacentral:rRNA from 1 species